rnacentral:rRNA from 1 species
CUACGGGUGGCUGCAGUGAGGAAUUUUGCGCAAUGGGGGAAACCCUGACGCAGCAACGCCGCGUGAGUGAUGAAGGCUUUCGAGUCGUAAAGCUCUGUCAAGUGGGAAGAACCUACUAAGUGCCAAUACCACUUAGUACUGACGGUACCACUGAAGGAAGCACCGGCUAACUCCGUGCCAGCAGCCGCGGUAAUACGGGGGGUGCAAGCGUUACUCGGAAUUAUUGGGCGUAAAGGGCGCGCAGGCGGCCAGGUAAGUCAGAUGUGAAAGCCCGGGGCUCAACCCCGGAAGUGCAUUUGAAACUACUUGGCUUGAGUAUGGGAGAGGGAAGUGGAAUUCCUGGUGUAGAGGUGAAAUUCGUAGAUAUCAGGAGGAACACCGGUGGCGAAGGCGACUUCCUGGACCAAUACUGACGCUGAGGCGCGAAGGCGUGGGUAGCAAACAGGAUUAGAUACCCCGGUAGUC